rnacentral:rRNA from 1 species
GCCAGACUCCUACGGGAGGCAGCAGUGGGGAAUAUUGCACAAUGGGGGGAACCCUGAUGCAGCGACGCCGCGUGAGUGAAGAAGUAUUUCGGUAUGUAAAGCUCUGUCAGCAGGGAAGAAGAAAGACGGUACCUGACCAAGAAGCCCCGGCUAACUACGUGCCAGCAGCCGCGGUAAUACGUAGGGGGCAAGCGUUAUCCGGAUUUACUGGGUGUAAAGGGAGCGUAGACGGCCGUGCAAGCCAGGAGUGAAAGCCCGGGGCCCAACCCCGGGACUGCUCUUGGAACUGUGCGGCUGGAGUGCGGGAGGGGCAGGCGGAAUUCCUGGUGUAGCGGUGAAAUGCGUAGAUAUCAGGAGGAACACCGGCGGCGAAGGCGGCCUGCUGGACCGCGACUGACGUUGAGGCUCGAAAGCGUGGGGAGCGAACAGGAUUAGAUACCCCAGUA